CCUACGGGAGGCAGCAGUGGGGGAUAUUGCACAAUGGAGGGAACUCUGAUGCAGCGACGCCGCGUGAGGGAAGAAGGUUUUCGGAUUGUAAACCUCUGUCUUCGGGGACGAAACGAGACGGUAGCCGAGGAGGAAGCCACGGCUAACUACGUGCCAGCAGCCGCGGUAAUACGUAGGGGGCAAGCGUGGGCCGGAAGUACUGGGUGUAAAGGGAGCGUAGGCGGGAUAGCAAGUUGAAUGUGGAAGGUACGGGCUCAACCUGUACAAGCGUUCAAAACUGUUUUUCUUGAGUUGAGUAGAGGUAAGCGGACUUCCUAGUGUAGCGGUGAACUGCGUACCUCUUAGGAGUAACCCCAGUGGCGAAUGCGGCUUACUGGGCUUUAACUGACUCUGAGGCUC
rnacentral:rRNA from 1 species